UUUUGUUUUUUUUUACUUAUUACCUACCAAACAGAUUUCAUGUUUUUUGUUUUAAUUCUUUCAAUUUUUUCUUUUCUUUCUAAUUUUUCUUUUUUUUCUUUUUUUUUUUUUUUUUUUUAUCAUAGCUCGGUCGAUAUUAGUACAAAUUUAUCGAUUCGUCCUUUUACUAUCAGAGGAAGAUGAUCGUUUCAAUCCGGUUCGCGCUGCGAAGGGUGGUUAAAAGGCGGUGAAGUGGGAUGGGAUAGGAGAGAAGAGGUUUGAUAAGGGGGUUGGAAGGGUGGAAAUGGUGGUAGCUCGAUUACUAGCUCGGUACUAGCUCGCCGGCAGCCGUGCACCUUGUUCGCCCGCCAGUUUCUAUCUGACAGCGUAUUUUUGUGGAAGCUACGCUAGCCCGCUUUCGAACCCUUCUACCCCCUACGUCACUUUCCUUCCUUCCUUCCUUCCUUCCUUCCUUCCUUCCUUCCUUCCUUCCUUCGUCCUCUCGCCAUUCUCCAUUCUCCCUCUUUCUCUCUCUCUUUCUCUCUCUCUCUCUCUCUCUUCUCUUCUCUUCCCUUCUCUAGCCCCACAACCCCCUUGUUAUCCCACUGCUUUUCGCGUGACGUCAGCGCGCUGCGUCGACCAAUCGCGAUGAGGGUUGAAUUAUGGAGACAGAGACGAUGACGACUAGAGAGAGAGAGAGAGAGAAAGAGAGAGAAAGAGAAAGAGAGAGAGAGAGAGAGAGAGAGAGAGAGAGAGAGAGAGAGAUAGAGAGAGACUGAUGCAGGCCGGAUUAUGCUAGCCUGGACUCGGUACGACGGCCGAGCCCUCGAUGAUGACGAGGAUGUAGAAGACUCUGUUCCAUGACAUUUUCCCCGAUGCAGAAGAAUCGUAAAUUACGUUCAACGUUUUACGCGAAGAGUGACGACUGGUGAUAUCUCGUAAACAUGCCUGACGGAUGGACUGUUUUCGCGCCCUUCGAAGAGAAAUGGUUGGCUCCCAUUUUCACAUCAUCAUCGUGAACGUCGUAGCGCGAAGGAAGAAGAGAUAGAUAAUAGAUAGAUAGAUAGAUAGAGAGAGAAAAAGAGAGAGAGAGAGAUAAUAACAGAGAAAGAGAGAUAGAGAUAGAAAUAGAGAAAGAAAAAAAAUCGAGUCGCGUUAAUGGAGUGGACGAAGCGCAGAGUGUGGAUCGAAAAAGAGCCACCGGCGUAUCUCGCGCGAUUCUAUCGAUCGAGCCAAAGAGAA